GCGGCGGUAGCUCAGCGGAAGAGCGCAGGUCUUAUAAACCUGUGGUCAAUGGUUCAAAUCCAUUCCGCCGCA
rnacentral:tRNA from 1 species